rnacentral:rRNA from 1 species
GCCCUAGUAACGGCGAGUGAAGCGGCAACAGCUCAAAUUUGAAAUCUGGCUCCUUUGGGGUCCGAGUUGUAAUUUGUAGAGGGUGCUUUGGCGUUGGUUGUGGUCUAAGUUCCUUGGAACAGGACGUCACAGAGGGUGAGAAUCCCGUACGUGGCCGCCAGCCUUCGCCGUGUAAAGCCCCUUCGAUGAGUCGAGUUGUUUGGGAAUGCAGCUCUAAAUGGGAGGUAAAUUUCUUCUAAAGCUAAAUAUUUGCCAGAGACCGAUAGCGCACAAGUAGAGUGAUCGAAAGAUGAAAAGCACUUUGGAAAGAGAGUCAAAAAGCACGUGAAAUUGUUGAAAGGGAAGCGCUUGCAGCUAGACGUGCCUUGGGUUGAUCAGCCGGACUUUUGCCCGGUGCACUCUUCCUUUGGCAGGCCAGCAUCAGUUUGGGCGGCUGGAUAAAGGUCUGUUAAACGUGACUUCCUUCGGGGAGAGCUUAUAGGGCAGACGACAUGCAGCCAGCCUGAACUGAGGUCCGCGCAUCUGCUAGGAUGCUGGCAUAAUAGCUGUAAGCGGCCCGUCUUGAAACACGGACCAAGGAGUCUAACAUCUAUGCGAGUGUUUGGGUGUCAAGCCCGAGCGCGUAAUGAAAGUAAACGGAGGUGGGAACCUUUUAGGCGCACCAUCGACCGAUCUUGAUGUCUUCGGAUGGAUUUGAGUAAGAGCAUAGCUGUUGGGACCCGAAAGAUGGUGAACUAUGCCUGAAUAGGGUGAAGCCAGAGGAAACUCUGGUGGAGGCUCGCAGCGGUUCUGACGUGCAAAUCGAUC